rnacentral:rRNA from 1 species
GACGAACGCUGGCGGCGUGCUUAACACAUGCAAGUCGAACGGAAAGGCCCUGCUUUUGUGGGGUGCUCGAGUGGCGAACGGGUGAGUAACACGUGAGUAACCUGCCCUUGACUUUGGGAUAACUUCAGGAAACUGGGGCUAAUACCGGAUAGGAGCUCCUGCUGCAUGGUGGGGGUUGGAAAGUUUCGGCGGUUGGGGAUGGACUCGCGGCUUAUCAGCUUGUUGGUGGGGUAGUGGCUUACCAAGGCUUUGACGGGUAGCCGGCCUGAGAGGGUGACCGGCCAAAGGGUGGGAGGGGCGACGGCCAGACGGGUGAGGCAGGCAGAAGGGGAUAAUGAUGAACACGGGACGGCAGCCGGCGGCAGCAGCGGCGCGGGGUGGAGGACGGCCGGGUGGUGGAAGCCGGCUCCCGGAGGAGACGAAGCGGGAGUGGAGGGAAUGAAUCAAGAACAACUGGCUAACUGCGUGACAGACGGUGCGGGAAAAGGUCGAACAGAACACCUUGAAC